GCCAGGCAUGCUGGUGCAUGCCUGUAAUCCCAGUUACUCAGGAGGCUGAGGCAGGAGAAUCACUUGAACCUGGGAGGUGGAGGUUGCAGUGAGCUGAGAUUGCACCACUGCACUCCAGCCUGAGUGACAGAGUGAGACCCUGUCUCAA
rfam:Homo sapiens chromosome 2, GRCh38 reference primary assembly.